rnacentral:rRNA from 1 species
AUGGAGAUGAGGAGAUGCAGUAUUCCUAGCAUCCUGCUGAUGCUUUCACUGGGGGCAGCCCUCCUCAUCGCCGGCCACCCCUCCGUCGCCGACGAGGCGAGCGCCAUUCUCCUGCCAAGCCAAGACAAAGACCAAGUGGUCAUGGCGACACCCAGGCCGUGGAAGUGCUGCGACGUGACCGUCUGCACCAGGUCGAUCCCGCCGACGUGCAGCUGCCAGGACGUGGUCGACAACUGUGCUCCAACCUGCGAGGACUGCAAUGGUUAUGUGCACCCACCCCGCCGCGUUUGCCUAGACCGUUACACCGGCGACCCCGGGCCCAGGUGCACGGACGCCGGCGCCGGCGGUAACUGA